GCACUGUGUUUGUCAUCGCUUUAGAGAGAGAGAGAAAAAAAUUCUCUGUUCUGUCAUUGUUUCUGCAUAUCCAUUAUAUGGAGGACAAAGAAUCCGGUCCAGGAACAACAAAGCUAAGAGAAAUGUUUUCCGUGGCUGACAUUUAAUUAAAUCAUUUCUUGUGAUGCAGGGUUUGAACUCCCCUUUUGAUCCUAUGACAGAACAAGGCAGAUCUUCCAUCUUUGGAACUGUGUUGGGCAGUAAAGAAACAUCCUGCAACAGCCCCCUUUAAAGUUCUCCUGUGUCAUACUGAGACAGAGCUUCCAGUCUUCUAUGAAGUACUUAGAAGACAUCUGUGCACAUCCAAAAUAAGUCAGCCUGAAACAGCAGCCUGCAU
rnacentral:lncRNA from 1 species